AAUGAACGCUGGCGGCGUGGCUUAUACAUGCAAGUCGAGCGAAAACACCGCAAGCGGGGUCAGCGGCGGAAGGGACCGGAAGGGGUAGAUACUCUGCCCUCAGGUCCGGGAUAGCUGCGGGAAACUGCAGGUAAUACCAGAUAACAUCGCCGGAUCAAAGGAAUGAUUCCGCCUGAGGAUGAGUCUGCGUCCUAUUAGCUUGUUGGUGGGGUAAUGGCCUACCAAGGCAAUGAUGUGUAGCAGGGGUGUGACGACGACCCGCGUCAUUGGGACUAAGAGACUGCGCCGACAACGGCGGGUGGCUGCAGGGAAUCUUCCGCGAUGAGGGGAGCAAGGCUGGCGGAGCGGCGCGGCGGUUGUGAAGAAGUCCGUAGCGUUGUAAACCACUGUUAGGGGAGAAGAAAUGUAGGUGGGUUUACGCACCUGUUUGCGGUAGCCUAAGAGGAAGGAACGGCUAACUUCGUG
rnacentral:rRNA from 1 species